UGACUCAUUAAUUGAUGGUGAUUGUGAUAACAUAAGGGAAAAAAUUGAUAUUACCUUAUUAUUAGUGUUGUCCAAAACUGGUGCCAGAAGACUCGGUAAGACCAGAGACGCAAACGUUAGUCAUCUUAAUCAGGCGUAAAGGGUGUGUAGGCUGCUUUAAAAAUUUAAAUCUUUGUAAUAGCUCUGUUAACGUACUACUACAUUAGUUAUAAACAAAAAAUAAAAAAUAAAAAAAUAUAUAUUCAAUAUAUAUGUAGUAUAUAAAAUUUAUUUUUAAAAAAAAAAUAAAUGAUAUUUAAAUAUAUCCGUGUAUCAGUAAAAGAAGUAAAUGAAUUAAAGCUAGGAUCAAAUUGAGGAUAAACCAAAUAAUACUUAGAGUAGGGGUUAAAUCCGCAGAUACUAAGGGGAAUACUAAAGGUGAAAGCUUUUUAUCUACUAUUGAUUGACGCUGAGAAACGAAGGUGAGAAUAGGAAAUAGGAUUAGAUACCCAGAUACCUCUCACUGUCAACGAUGAAUGGUGGUUGUUAGUUUUAAUAAAAACUGGUAACGAUGUUAACACGAUAACCAUUCCGCCUUGCGAGUACGGUUGCAAAACUGAAACCAAAAAAAUU
rnacentral:rRNA from 1 species